GGCUGGUCUGACAGGCAGUCAGGAUUUGGCUUGUAUCAUAGAGGUUUGGUUAAAUGAAGCCACAGCACCUUUUCUGCACUUAAAGGGAUAACAAAAUGUUUCCUGCACCAUCAACAAGACAUCUCUGUGGAAACUGAAAGCACACCUGCCCUUCUGAAAGUUUUAGCUGAAAAACCACAUGGUUGUGAGACUAGAGCUCGACAGGGAUAGAGACAAGCACUGCUUACCUAAGCAAGUUAUUUCUUAAUUGUCACUAGAUUUUUUCUCUGUUUUAAAGAAGAACUGACAUUCUGAAUCUUUUUUCCCCCCCUCUUAGGCCCACGAUAGAUGGAUACAGCUGUGAAAUGUGGUAGGAUAUGCCUUAUUCACAGCACUAGCAAACCAAGCACUGGUGGCAACACAGCUUCCAGAGAGUGACAGCAGGAGCAAAGUACACCCGACACUGCAGGAACUUAUCCAGGAGGAGAGUCAGCAAGUCCAUUUCCUUCACUGCCGUCCCUGCUUCAGAUGAUAUCAGCAGGCUUUCAAAUACUUUUAUCUAAAGACAAGAAUUUUGUACCAGCUUACGGGCCGGGAGAGAGUGGAAGAGGGCUUAAAAAAUAAACCACCAGAAAUGAAACAAACAACCAGGGGAAAAUAGAAAAAAAAAAAAGGAAAAAGACAACCAGCCCAAAACAAAACAUAACGUAGAUGAAAUUGAAUGAAAUUGAAUGAAAUUGAAUGAAACUGACGCAUGCAGACGGCACGGAUUUAGGACAGUAGUUUGCUAGUCUGGGCUCUUGGGAAGUGACUUCACUUUUCCCGCGGAGGAGGCAGGGAGAUAAACGCUUCCACAGCGCUCUCGCAUUCCUGACCACGAAAACAACUUUAUUUUUUCAAUCCUGCACUGUGCUCCAGCUCCUCUCCUCCCGGAGCGCCACUGCCCAGGGAACUCCACGGGCAUAGACAAACACCAAAUAACACGGACCGGCGGGACCGCCGCCCCGGGGGCCCGCGGCCAGCGGAGGAGCCACCUCAGGCUGAACAAUCCCAACUCUGUCAGCCUUUUAUCACAGCAGAAGUGCUCCAUCCCCCCGACCAUCCUGGUGCCUUCUCUGGAUACUCCAACAGGUCCGUGUUCCUCCUCUGCUGGGACCCCAGAGCUGGAGGCAGAAAGCAUCCAGCAGGCACUGAAACGUGUCAAAAUCCUCACCCACAACUGAAGGACAAUGGAAUGAACCUAUAAAUCAUGGUGCUCUUUGGCAAAAUGAAUUAAGCUUGCCUUCACAUUUUGUACCCUGGUCUUGCCAAGUGGGGUAGAUGUGUUU